UCCAAGGCUCAAGCAAUCCUUCCGCCCUGUCCUCCCAAAGUGCUGGGAUUUUAAGUGUGCACCACCACAUCAGGCCAAGAUUAAGUUCUGAUAACUACUUAUUUGCACUUGCUGUUUAUUAUGUCCCAAGUAUGUUCCAGGAGCUUUAUGUAUACCGUUAUUUGUUCCUCAGAACAACCCAAUUAAAGUUGGUACUGUUAUUAUCACUGGCAUCUUACAGACAAGCACACUGAGUCAGGGAGAGAUAAAGCAAGCCUCAGGUAUUAAUCCUUUUGUUAUCCUUUUGGAUAACAUUUACAGUUCUCUGAGCCUCAGGUAUCUUUUGGCUAGCAGUACCUGGCUAAGGUCACACAAUGGGUGAGUGUUAGGAGUUGGAUUCAGCUGAGGUAGGGUGACCACCCAACCUGGUUUGGCCAAGACUGAGGGGUUUCCCAGGAUGCAGGACUUUCGGCGCUCAAACCAUAACAAUCUCAGGCAAAGAGAACAGUUGGUUAUCCUCAAUCCAGAUUGUGCCCCCAAGGGCCACACUCUGAAGCAUUUAGCUCUUCUGUCUCUCAGGCAGAAGGUGAUGGAUCCAGGAUUUGAACUCCUGUUGAGUGACUCUGAAGCCUGUGCCCUGGUAUUUCUAUCAUGUUGCUGUGGUUUGUGUUUUGAUACAAAUAUAUCACAAAAGGAAUUAUAUGGAUUACUAACUUGUAAUAUGCUUGGGUAGGGAAUCAUAUGCGAAAGCCUAAUACAUUCAAUUAGAUAGGAACAUACAUUCAGAUAUUUGUUGUGAUUCUCUUCUUAAUGUUUAGUUGAGAUAUAAUUGCUAUACCCCCCAAUCACAUCCUCAAUAUAUACAAUUUGAUGAGCUUGGAUAUGUGUACACCCAUAGCACCAUCACUGAACCAAGGUAAUAAGCAUAUUCAUCACCUCCAAAAGUUUUCUCAUGAACCCUCUUUUUGAGUAAGUUCUAGAGAUGUGUUGUACAACAGAGUGCCUAUAGUUAGCGAUACUAUUGUGUACUUGCAUUGUGUACUUUAAAAAGUUGUUAGGAGCAUAGAUAAUUGCCUUCAUCUCACUUAAUAGCAGACCAUUUAUUUUUCUUACACUUUGGUUUCUCCCAAGCCCAUUCCCUAUUUCCCAUAAGUCACUAUGGACUUGUGGUAUAGAUAGAUGCUGUAUUCUCCCUUCUCCCUUAGGUCACUCCUGAGUGAUAGCUUUCUCAUGUGUACCCAACUUUGCUUUCCCUGAAGGGUCUGAAAUACAUUCAGCAGCCACAGGUGCCCGUCAAUUUUCUCUUCUGCCAUGUUUCCUCCUUAGGUCUCCUCUUCUCUAAGUGCUAUUGUUUCCUUUAUCCCAUACCCUACACCUCCCUAGUCAGUUUCAUGACAUCUCUUUAUAGUAUAGCACCAAUAAAACUGCCUUAGGAUUUGAGGGAAGAGAGAAAUCAAUUUAGACUAGUGUCAUGAACACCGUUGUAGAGAUGAUAUUAAUUGAGCUGAAUUUUGAGGAGCACAAAUGAUUUAGAUGAGCAUCAGUAAUAUCAAAGGCUUAAUUUUACUGAUUUAGAUUUUGAAGGGUGAUUAUAGUCUAGGAAUUAAGGGCUAUUAAAUUACUUUUGCUUUUUGAUUGCAUGAGCUUAACCACGAGUAACUUAACCACUGGCUGACUUAACCACUUUUCUAAAGUCUUUAUGUUUGAAGACAGCAUUUCCUAAAUGUGUGGAGGCUCAUAGUAUUUAAUUGUAUUGAGGAUUGGUUUUGCGUUGUGAAGAGCAAACUUGUAUAACACUUAUCAGAUGAGUAACUUUUGGAUAACAUUUACAGUUCUCUGAACCUCAUGUAUCUUUUGGCUAGCAGUACCUGACACAGAGAGUUCUUGUGAAGAUAAAAAUACAUAAAGGAUUAAUAGAAUAGCUAGUUUAGUGCCUGACACAUAGUAGCCAUUAUUAGUCUUACCUAAAGAAUGAUUGUAUUCUGUUUGUAGAUGAAAGCAACUGAUUUUCUGCUUGUUUCAAUAGUAUGAUGAGAUAACAAGUACAUGGGAAUGGAUAGCGGUGGUUAGUACUCUAGGUCAGGAAUAAGAAAUUAUUUUUAAACUCAUCCCACUCUUUCCCUCUAUAGCAACGCCUUCCUUGUCUGGUUGAGGUGUAUGUAGAUGCUCUCCCCUUGUGCUUCAGUACGAAAUGUUUAAGGAAACCAGAUAUUUUAAUUUUUUAAAGCAUACUUUUUUAUAUAAAAUCAUGUGGUAGAAAUCUGAACAUUAACAGUAGAAAAUAUUUUGAGGUAUCAAAUAAAUCAUUAUAGCAAACUCUGAACAAUUUUGCAUUUAAGCAUGUUUGUAUGUUAGAUGUUAGAGUGAGGUAGACAGGGAGUGUGUGAUUGCGUAUUUUGUCCACAAAAAGGUAACUAUCAUAAAUAUUUUAUUGCUCAACACAGUUUGCAUUUGUACUUCAACAGAGCUACUGUACUGAUUUUUAUAAAUACCGAUUUGUGUAACUUUUUCUGGCUACUGUUCCUCUAGGACAAAAUAAUAGGGGCAAAAAUGGUUCUAAUUUAUAUUUUACCCAUGAUUGAUUCAACUUUAUUAUUUGGAUAUAUUUUAUAGUCAGGUAUGUAGGUGAUGUUUACUUUAUCUCUGCUACUAAUUUUUGUUUGUUUGUUUGUUUGUUUAUUCUUCUAUUGCAAGUUGAUUUUCAGGGUGAUGGGCACCCUGAAGGCAAUAAGAAACAGCUGGGGGGAAAGUGAAAUUUUAAUUUCAGUUGUUCUUUGCAUACAAUUUCUUUUGUUUCAGACCCUUGUUCUAUUCCAGGGGCUGUGGGGAUGGAGGUGGCAGAGAAAGGGAAAGAGAGAGAGAGAGAAAGGUAUGUAAAAAGCCUUUCCUGGAUGUGGCCAGAAAGGCACUUGACCAUGGAAGAAUGGGUCAGAGAGAUAAAAUGCUGAUGGCUAUAAAAAGGAGGGAGGAGGGCAGCCAGGAGCCAAAGAAAAGAAUGUAGACUUGAUAAAACAAGUAAAUUGACCAUAUAUGUGGCUUUACAAUUCAUAUUUGUCACUGUGGUAGACAGAAAAUAAUGGUGACCCCCAAAGAUCCCCACUAAUCAUGACUAGUUCUGCCAAAUAGUCUUCCUUUUAGAUUGCAUAUUUCUUGAGAAUUAGGACUUUUUGUAUCUUGGUUUCCACUUAGUGCUCUUCCAGCAUUGGGAUGACACAGUUUUUAAAGAAUGGAAGCCUUUUUGAAGCUAAUGCAUAUAUAUUCAUGUAUUCUAAUAUUUCCCCAUAUGAUAUCAAAUCAGAAGGGAGCUUAUUUUCUUUGGCUUUACCACAUUGUUUUUAAGAAAGCUCUCACAGUGGAAACUCUGAGAAUUUAAAACAAUUUCUGGCCAAAACGGCAGUGAGCGAGGAAAAAGCCCAAAAAGAAUUCCAAGUCUACACACAUUUGGAAUCCAACCCUGACUUCAGAAACGUUUUUUAAGUAAGUUGUUCUGUGAAAAUUAAAUUAUAAAUGACAGAUCUCCAAAGAUUAAUUUUUUAACUACUAUAGCAUAACAUACUUCAUGAAUGCCAACAGUUCUUUUUUGGUUCAGAAUGGACUUUAGCCAACAAAUUAAAUCUUGUGGUUUUCAAUCUUGCAUCAUUUGUCACUGGAUUCUAAAACUUCAGGAUUAAAUUUUGUAGAACAAAUGGACAUAGGCUCUUUCUCUGAUGUUCUACCACAGCACUAGCUCUUUAGGUAUUAUGCUAAAAGUAGGAAGAAAAAUUCUUAGGACCUAAAACUUGAGGAGUUUUCACUUGCUAUAAAAAUUAUCCUCAUAUUGAAAUAUGUGAUGCAAUACCUAUUUUUUCCCUCAAAGAACAUUCAGAAAGAUGUAGCACUGUCUAUGUGCUUUCCAACAUGGUAGCCAUUAGCCAUAUAUGUGAGUACUGAGUGCUUGGAAUGUGGUUAGUCUAUUUUGAAUAUAAGUGUGAAAUGCACACUAGAUUUUGAAGAUUUAGCACAAAAGACAAAGCAUAAAAUAGCUCAUAAUAAAUUUUAUAUUGAUUACCUGAAAUGCUAAUAUUUUGGAUACAUUUGGCUAAGUAUAUUAUUAAAAUUAAUUUUACCCAUUCUUUUUACUUUUUAAAACACAGCUACUAGAAAAUUUAUAAUUUCAUAUGUACUUUGCUUAUAAUGUGAUUCACAUUGUAUUUCUAUAGGAUAGUGCUGCUUUAGAUGAUUAAAUUAGUCAUUCUAAUUGUAGAGAAAUAUAGGAAACCAUGUUUGGAUUCUUAAGUACUAAGUGGGAGGUCAGUGUCUCUUGCCUUGUGAAAUCACUCCUGCUUCAUCCUUCUGUUCUUCCUGAGUCUGGUGUUUCAGUGUGGAUAUCUUGUUAAGAGAGAGAAUAAUAGAUGCAAUACAUAUCAGAGAAAGAUUAGAAUGUCAUUGAAUGCCAUCAAAAGAAGUGAACAAAAUUGAGAAGAGGAGUGGACAGCAUAUUCUCUCAGCAAUAAUUAGGUUCUUUGUCAUUUUUCAGGGAAUCUCUAGAACAUGUACCUUGAAAAUGAGAAAUUCAGCCAGAUAAAGGUUACAUUUGGUUUUUAGCAAGAAAUGUGAACCCAGGAGAAUAUGAGAACGACAGAUUUUAACCUUAUUUGAAUGGAGAGGGAAGAACUGGGUAGGAUGGAUCAAGCAGUGUGACUUCACACUAUCCUCAUAAUAGAUAAUGACUGAAAUUGAUUGGCAAUAUAGCAUUUAUUAUUUUAUUGUAAUACUGUUAUUAGAGCCUGGGGAAGUGCCUGUCCAAAUGCCUAUGCUUUCUAAAGAAUAAACAAAAGGGCUGAUGUCUCCUGCACAUGAGUAGAGACUAUCCUCCCGUUAACAGUAAAUACUUCCUAGUUUCAUGAAGAACAGGAUGGAGAAAAACUAUCUAUAAAUGAGUACAGAGAGGAGGUGAAAUCAUAAAGUCUCUAACUCAUCCAAUUAUAAGAUAUUUUUUUCCUUUUGUUUCAAGUGUUUGUUGAAGUACUGUAGACUAUACUCAUUGUGUGGAAUUGACAAAGGUUGAUAUAAUUAUUACCAUCUAAUCUGUGGAAUCUUAUUAUUGUACUUAAGCUGAUACACCAAAGGAAACUAUGAGCUCUGUGUUAACAAAAAGAAAGAGAUCUUCAGUAUCCUCUUACUGCUUAUGAACAUCUGUUUUAGAAGUUCUUAAUUAUCGCCUGGGAGAGAAGGACAUAAUUGUGAGGUUCAUAUGGAAGCAUUAAAAGUAAUCACACGUGGUUCCCCAAAUGGGUCUCUCUGCUUGUUUUAGGGGGAGGGGUGGGAGGUUGCUUAUUCAUAUAGCUUGGCAAAAUGUUGAAUACUUUAGUCAUUUUAGCAUUUGAAAACUGUUAAUAUUUUAUAUCCCAAGCCAUGGAAAAGGGAUAAUUUUGUCUAAGCAAGCCAGCCCAAACAUUAUAGUAUCUUUGUUAAAAUAAAAAGCAAGAGAUAAUCUGGGUUUAUUUACAAAAUGCAAUUGUCUACUCUGAAGAUAAACUCCUGGGUGCUAAUCAUGGAAACUGUGGUAAUUAUAGCACCUAAAUAAAAAUGGCACUCUAUCCAUCAGCAUCAUGGAGGGUUUGCAGGAGAUGACUUUGAAAGAUUCAGUCAGGGCAACAAUUUGGAGUUCUGUAUAGCUCUCUUUCAAGAAGUUAAAAUGCUCUCUGAUGGCAGAGGAAAUUAGACUUGUUCUGCAUGACUUCAGGUGAAUUAGGAAAAAGAAAUGAUGUUAAAGGAGAAGGAAAUUUUAUUUAAGUUUACCAAAGAGUUUCCUAACAAAUAGAGAUUAUAGUGAAAAUGAUGGCACAUUGAGGCCCUGCUUACCUAUGAAAGGAAGUGUUAACCAGAAGUAUUGACAACAGUCUAUAGAGUACACUAGAAUGAGAUUUCAGCCUUAGGUAGAAGUUAGGUGGUAUAUUAGACAAGGACCUUCAAUGCUAAGAUUAUGACAAGUAAUGAUUAAUUUGUCUUAUACGUUUUCUAAAAAGAAACUUUAAGUAUCUGUAUUGCAUUACACAUUGCAAAUCCAAAUGAAAUGCAUAUGUGUAUUUAAAUCUGUAGAUAAUUUUUAUUAUAAUUCAUUGUGAUGUCUUUCACAUCUCCUCUUCAGUGCAAUGAGGAACAUGCUUAUUAGUAAGGAGCCUCAUAUUCCAGAAGAGCCCCUUGGCUGAGAGGUAAAUAAAGAGUGUAGGUGUUACUGCAGCCCUCCCACAUAAAGCAUAGCCUGGAGCUGAUGAUUCCGUUGGCACAGCUUGUCUCUAGUUGACCUUAUUAAAACAUUGAUCAGCAAAGGCCCCAUGAAACUUAUUUGCACACAGCUGUCUCAUAGUAGAUAUCAUUCACUUUGUGCCCUCGUGGUUUUGCACAAUGAGUAAUUUGAACGACAUCAAACUUAAAAUCCUCACAAAACUAUGAAGAUGGGAAUAUGUCUUUUCUUUAGUUUCUUACUCAUUUGAAAUGAAAGAAUGUUAGAGCAAGAAAAGGUGGAUAUUAUAUAUUUCAGUGGUUCAAAACCCUGACUAUCCUUUAGAAUUGUCUGAAGAUUUUAAAAAUAUUAUCAGAGUCUGGGCCCCAUACUCAAGUAUUCUGAUGUAGUUUGUCUAAAGUGGCUGCUGAACUCUGGUAUUUUUUGACAGCUCCCCAAGUAAUCUAAUGUGAAGCCAAGAUUGAGAAGUACUAGUCUUUUGUAAUUAUUUUUUAUUAUACUUUAUUUUUCAAAUUGAUACAUAAUGAUUAUACAUAUUUAUGAGGUACAUAGUGAUGUUAGAUACAUACAAUGUAUAGUAAUUAGAUCAGGGUAAGUAGCAUACCUGUGAUCUCAAACGUUUAUCAUUUCUUUGUGUUGGGAACAUUUAAUAUCCCAACUGUUAGGAAACUGUUUUACCUUUAUUUAAAUAAAAAGAUUCUUUAUUCCCAUAAUUGGGUCAUUGAACCCAUAUUAGUUUCUAUAGAGAAAUUUCAAGUUGGGUCUUUUGGGACAAGAUAGUGAAAUAGUCUUCCCUAGGAAGUAUUGUCACCCCUCUCUCUAAACUAACAUGACAGUUUCAGGGGUGAUGAAUUUUUUCCUGAAGAGUUAGGGCUAAAGAUACAAGGAAAAGACUACUAUUUCCUGCCUUCAAGUCUUUGCACCUGCCAUGCCAUCAGACUGACAUGUUCUUUUCUCACUUGAGGCCAGUGAAUGCCUAUCCAUUUAUUAAAUCCAAUACCAAUAUUACUCUUCUUGAAGUUUUUCUUACUAUCUUCUAGGAAGUAUUAGAUGCUCCCCCAUCUGCAUACUCACAUAACUCAGUUCAUAUCUCUCCUAUAUGACAUGUUCCCAGUUCUGUACAAUUUAUUUACCUACACAUAAAAACCUUUACUCCUCAAAGAUGGGCACCCUACUUAGGUCUAAUCUAUUGGUGUACCCUCUAGUAUAGUUUUUGGCAUGUAUUAUGCAUUCAAGAAAUGUUUAUUAAAAUAAACAAUUGAGUAGGUGAAUGAAUGAGUGAGUGUAAGUGAAGAUGCAAAUAUUCUUGCUCACACUGGGAAGCCAGAAACAGAUUAAAUGAAUGUUAGGGCCGUGUGGGUUUCUGCCUUGAACUGUUAAAUGCUAACUAUACAAGAGUCACAAGAAUCUUGUUUUGAUGUGGAAUAAAAACAGCUAACAUCUUAGAGUCAGGAAACAAAGGCUGUAUAAAAGAGCCUGGUGGAGGACCCUCAGGAACUAGUUAUGUCAGCCUGCUUCCUACCGAUUUUGUGGAAGAUGGCAUUUUAGUGACUGAGAAUAAGACCUUAUUUUUCAAAGUGUCCCAGUAAUGUAUGUUGACUUAUAAAAAUCUGGGAUCCAGGAGCAUAGGACCUACAAUCUUCUGGCUGGUUUUCUAACUGUAUGAGUCCAGGAUUAUCUGGAGCCUGUUUCCUAUACACUGAGUAUGACCUUGAAUUUCCCAAAGAAACAAGUUGUCUUUAUGUUACUUAUUAUCCUGGUUGCUUUUCAAACUCUGAAAACUUUGAGUUCUGAGAGAUUAUUUCAGUCCUUGGCCAAUAGACCCAAUCAACUACUACACCUACAACAUAUAGGAGAUAAGGGGUUGUCAUCCAGGUGGUCAUUAGCAAGUCUAGUCACCUCUCGGGUAGUUCUCAUGUGACAUCUAUCAUUUCUUCACUUUCUUACUUCAGCUCCUUUCCCCUGGGCACUUUGAUAUCUACUAGAUAUGCUGCCAUGAAGAUCCCAGGAGCCCUCCAGCUACAGUUGUACCUAUGUAAAAUACUAUUGUGGGUGUUGGAUUUAAAUAGUAUUCUUUCAAGUCCUAUAAAAACUUAGCUUAUUCCGAAAAUAGAACAAUUAUGUUUUAAAAAUAACAUUGAAUAUAAGAGUAAGGAUUCUUUUUCUUUUGAUAUGUUCAUUUUUUAAAUUUCAAAGUGGGAAAUGUCUAAAUGUGUUAAAAUAAAUGAACUAUCAAAGCCAAAAUCAGAAGCACAGGUUUUAUAGAAGAUACUCUUGCAUAAAGUAAUUCAUAAAUAACAUCCAGUAUGUUUUCCUUGAGUCCUCUGUAUUGAGCCUGCUUUCCUAUUUAGUUAGAACUCUUAAUGCUAAUCAUUAUAAUGAUAUUUGGCAAAGAUCAGAAUUAACAGUGGGCCGUUGAGUAACUCAAAGUUGAGUCAGUGCUUUCUCCUGAGAGUAAUGAGAUAACUUGGGACUAGAUAAUGAAACAAUUAGAUUCAAACACCUUAUAAAUAAAAAUAUUAUUAUUCCUCAAGAUUAUUUACAUUUUAGGUUUCACUUAAGUUUUCCUAGGCUUUCUCAGUCUGGAACCCAGCAAAGCAGAAUUUGCCCUAGAUGCUUCUAAUGAGGAGUUUUUAAUGAAAGAACUACUUACAGAGGUGUGGUCAAGGUGAGGCACAAAGCAAGAGUUGAUGGAACACCAAGAAACUAAUGACAGUGGGAAGCCUAGGUCUAAAGAAUAUAGUCUUCCUGGGCCAUGAGCUGAAGCUGAAGGGAAGGACCACCCCAUGGAGCUAUGGAAAUGGAAGUCACCAGCUGUAUCAGACUACUGAAAAAUAAAGAAAAGAGGAAAGAAAGAAAAG